GCGGUAGCACAGGAGAGCUUGCUCUCUGGGUGACGAGCGGCGGACGGGUGAGUAAUGUCUGGGAAACUGCCUGAUGGAGGGGGAUAACUACUGGAAACGGUAGCUAAUACCGCAUAACGUCUUCGGACCAAAGUGGGGGACCUUCGGGCCUCACGCCAUCAGAUGUGCCCAGAUGGGAUUAGCUAGUAGGUGGGGUAAUGGCUCACCUAGGCGACGAUCCCUAGCUGGUCUGAGAGGAUGACCAGCCACACUGGAACUGAGACACGGUCCAGACUCCUACGGGAGGCAGCAGUGGGGAAUAUUGCACAAUGGGCGCAAGCCUGAUGCAGCCAUGCCGCGUGUGUGAAGAAGGCCUUCGGGUUGUAAAGCACUUUCAGCGAGGAGGAAGGGUGGUGUGUUAAUAGCGCAUCACAUUGACGUUACUCGCAGAAGAAGCACCGGCUAACUCCGUGCCAGCAGCCGCGGUAAUACGGAGGGUGCAAGCGUUAAUCGGAAUUACUGGGCGUAAAGCGCACGCAGGCGGUUUGUUAAGUCAGAUGUGAAAUCCCCGCGCUUAACGUGGGAACUGCAUUUGAAACUGGCAAGCUAGAGUCUUGUAGAGGGGGGUAGAAUUCCAGGUGUAGCGGUGAAAUGCGUAGAGAUCUGGAGGAAUACCGGUGGCGAAGGCGGCCCCCUGGACAAAGACUGACGCUC
rnacentral:rRNA from 1 species